rnacentral:rRNA from 1 species
AGUGGCGGACGGGUGAGUAACGCGUGGGUAACCUGCCUCAUACAGGGGGAUAACAGUUAGAAAUGACUGCUAAUACCGCAUAAGACCACAGCACCGCAUGGUGCAGGGGUAAAAACUCCGGUGGUAUGAGAUGGGCCCGCGUCUGAUUAGGUAGUUGGUGGGGUAACGGCCUACCAAGCCGACGAUCAGUAGCCGACCUGAGAGGGUGACCGGCCACAUUGGGACUGAGACACGGUCCAA